rnacentral:rRNA from 1 species
UACAGAGGGUGCGAGCGUUAAUCGGAAUUACUGGGCGUAAAGCGUGCGUAGACGGCUAUCUAAGUCGGGUGUGAAAGCCCCGGGCUCAACCUGGGAAUUGCAUUCGAGACUGAAUAGCUAGGGUACGGUAGAGGGAAGUGGAAUUUCCGGUGUAGCGGUGAAAUGCGUAGAUAUCGGGAGGAACACCAGUGGCGAAGGCGACUACCUGGCCUGUUCUUGACGCUGAGGCGCGAAAGCUAGGGUAGCAAACGGG